rnacentral:siRNA from 1 species
AAGAAGUGUUCGAAUUGUUUGCCU